UCUUUUUUAGUGGCUUUGUUCAGUUUCCUAUAGUCUAUACAAACCCGCCAACCAUUCUGCACUCUCGUAGGAAUCUCUAACCCCUCCUUGUUGGUAACUAUUGUAGUUCCUCUCCUCUUAGGUACAACAUGAAUUGGACUUACCCACUUUGAAUCGGCUAUAGGAUAAAUGACAUCGGCUUCCAACCAUUUUAAAAUUUCAGUCUUAACUACCUCCAUCAUUGGUGGAUUCAAUCGGCGUUGGGGGUCUCUUUUGGGGACUGAAUCUGGUUCCAAAGCUAUCUUGUGGGUACACAAAGUCGUACUAAGUCCCUUAAUGUCAGCUAGUGUCCAACCGAAGGCUUCUUUAUGCUCCCUAAGAACCCUAAGCAGCUUAGAUUCUUGGGAUUCAGUCAAGGCAUUCGACACUAUCAAUGGUAAAGUUUGAUUUUCCCCUAAAUAAAUCUACUUUAAAUUUUUGGGCAGCUCUUUUAACUCUAAUUUAGGUGGCGAAAUCAAUGAAGGGACUUGCUUACCAGUCACCGUAAGAUUAGGGAGAAUCGGCUUGAAUCGUGUCAAUUUGGGUGAGUCUAAAGCACAAACUGAGUCAAUUAAAGAAUCAGAAACGAUAAAUUCAUGAUCAUCGAUAUCAAAAAUACCUUUAGCUAGAAUGCUUUUCAACUCGUCUUCAUCCCCUAAUUCAUAAACAUCUUGAACAAAAUUAUCAAUUACAUCAAGAGUAAACACGGAAUUAAUAUCAGUGGGAUAUCUCAUAGCAUCAAAUAUAUUAAAUUUAAUUAUCUCACCAUCAAAUUCCAUCGUUAAAUUCCCUUUAUGCACAUCAAUUU
rnacentral:lncRNA from 1 species